GGAAAUAUAAUUUGUAGGUUUGUGGGUAAUGAGUGCACGCUGACAUAGGAGAGUGAGUGGACGUCAGACACACAGAGGGGUGGUGUUUGAAGUGCGUGCGUGUGCAGCUGCCUUAUUUAACCUGGAUUUUCUCUCAAGACGGUGACACGUGCCAGUGGAAGCUUAAUGGCUGCCGGAAGGUGGUCGUGAGGGCCAGAAACACUUACAAUAUUGACAAAUGACCCACCUGCUGCUUGGCCAGCUGGCGGACUGGUCACAGACGCCAUGGUGCAAUAGGAGACUACCCCAUCCCGUGCCUCCCGCCCUGCCCCACCCAGAUGCCAUGGCCCGGCAGCGACACCAUUCCACCUGCUACAUGACGCUGGCUGACGCACUCCUGACGUGGCAGCGACAGGAGGCGGAGGGCAGGAGCAAGAGUCGGAUGGUGAAGAAAGGCGUGAUGGCGGAGGUGGUGGCUGUGGAGGGUGUUCGUGCAGGGUACCUCGGCAGGGUCUAGUGUGCAGGUUUGCAGUAAACCUCCCUGAAGGUUCCAGAGCUGCUCAGCAAGUGCCCAGUCCAGGCUGUCACAAGACUGUGUGAUGGUGGACCUUCCACUGAUACUCACUGAAAACAGCUGUGCACUGCCACUCACAGGAAAUGACUACCCCAUCCCCUGCCUCCCUGCCCUGCUCCACCCACAUGCCAUGGCCCGGCAGCGACACCAUUCCACCUGCUACACGACGCUGGCUGACGCACUCCUGACGUGGCAGUGACAGGAGGCGGAGGGCAGGAGCAAGAGUCGGAUGGUGAAGAAAGGCGUGAUGGCGGAGGUGGUGGCUGUGGAGGGUGUUCAUGCAGGGUACCUCGGCAGGGUCUAGGUUUGCAGUAAACCUCCCCGAAGGUUCCAGAGCUGGUCUGCAGGUGCCCAGUCCAGGCUGUCACAAGACUGUGUGAUGGUGGACCUUCCAAUGAUACUCACUGAAAACAGCUGUGCACUGCCACUCACAGGAAAUGGGCCUGAUGUGAAGGUGUCUGCAGCCAGUGUUUGGUGUCCUCUGUGCCUGCCUGGUGGUGCCUCAUUGCAGGGUCUGAUGUGAAGGUGUCUGCAGCCAGUGUUUGGUGUCCUCUGUGCCUGGUGGUGCCUCAUUGCAGGGCUGAUGUGAAGGUGUCUGCAGCCAGUGGUGGGUGUCCUCUGUGCCUGGUGGUGCCUCAUUGCAGGGCUGAUGUGAAGGUGUCUGCAGCCAGUGGUGGGUGUCCUCUCUUCCUGGUGGUGCAGCCUGAUGUGCUGCCUGCUUCUGUGUAAAUCUUGCAAGCCAGAUCUGCCAGCUGUCUCCAGUGUAGUAGUCUAGGGUGCUUUGCUUUGUGUCUUUGGCAAUAAAUAAAUUUGUGAGUAUCAUUCUCAUGUGAAUUAUAUAGUUUGAUAAAAUUACAGAAUGUGCUUGAUAAAAUUACAGAAUGUGCUUGGGUAAACUAAAUUUAUAUAUUGGUGGUAAACAAUUCAUGCAUCCCCAAGUAAAUAAAUAAAAUAAAAUAAAUAGGACCCAAAACAAUAGAUACAAUAGAUCAUCCUCUGGUC